rnacentral:lncRNA from 1 species
CUGCUAGGGAAGGCAUCGAGCUUGAGGAAGAGGCCUCAUUCAUCUCCGUACCCCAGGCCCUAGUACACAGCAGGCAGCACCUUCUACCACCAUCCACCCUCCUCCGUGUUGUAUUUAUUUUGUUGAUUUCUCCUUCAUUGAAAUGUCAGCUCCAGGUGGGCACGCAUCUUUGUUGUGUUCUCUGCUGACUGUAUCCUCAGCACCUAGAACUGUCUGUCACCUAAUAGAUGCUCAAUAAACCUGCCAGUAAUUUCAGCAAAUGAAACGUGGAACACGUCAAGGCCAGAGGAUGGAAAAGGCUCCAGUUUUGAUAAAAGGAGGCCUGCUUGGCUUGGAAUCCUCUCUCCUGCUGGUUGGGAGAUGCAAAGAUGUUUCCAGAGAGGGGCUGAUGAAUUGAGGGGAAAGAAAUGAGCCCAGUAUGAGUCCCCUUUCAGGGCUGAGUGUGUAUAAAACCAAACAACUUGGAACCGCUCCAAGAGAGGGGAUUAAAGCAACAUGUUAUUCUGA